GGGGGCGGAUGUGUUCCUGGUGGAUGCCACGGUCUUCAAAACCGUUGUGGGGCUUCGCCGUCCCGGCUGGGUUCGAUUCCCAGACGCUCCCGC
rnacentral:tRNA from 1 species